GGAAUAACCAUGAAAGGGAGGAGUAAGUAACCUUACCUUCAAGAGAGGGAAACCAUUAGCUGUAAGGUUUCCUAAGGCAGAAGUUACUGAAGGUCGCCCUGAAGUUGUCCAUUUGAAAUGAUGUAGAAUGGACCGGAUCAUCAACCGUUACUGAUUGAGUGCAUGAACACACAAAUAGAGCUAGGUCUAAGCUAGUUGUGUUUCAUGAACAAAGGUGGCACCGCGAAAACAAACUCUUUUCGUCCUUUGG
rnacentral:ncRNA from 1 species